CCUACGGGAGGCUGCAGUGAGGAAUAUUGGUCAAUGGGCGCGAGCCUGAACCAGCCAAGUAGCGUGAAGGAUGACUGCCCUACGGGUUGUAAACUUCUUUUAUAAAGGAGUAAAGUGAGGCACGUGUGCCUUUUUGUUUCUACUUUAUGAAUAAGGAUCGGCUAACCCCGUUCCAGCAGCCGCGGUAAUAUGGAGGAUCCGAGCGUUAUCCGGUUUUAUUGGGUUUAAAGGGAGCGUAGAUGGGUUGUUAAGUCAGUUGUGAAAGUUUGCGGCUCAACCGUACAAUUGCAAUUGAUACUGGCAGCCGUGAGUACAGUUGAGGUAGGCGGAAUUCGUGGUGUAGCGGUGAAAUGCUUAGAUAUAACGAAGAACUCCGAUUGCGAAGGCAGCUUACUAAACUGCCACUGACAUUGAUGCUCGAAAGUGUGGGUAUCAAACAGGAUUAGAUACCCGGGUAGUC
rnacentral:rRNA from 1 species